rnacentral:rRNA from 1 species
GAAUAGCCUUUCGAAAGAAAGAUUAAUACCGGAUAGCAUACGAAUAUCGCAUGAUAUUUUUAUUAAAGAAUUUCGGUUAUCGAUGGGGAUGCGUUCCAUUAGUUUGUUGGCGGGGUAACGGCCCACCAAGACUACGAUGGAUAGGGGUUCUGAGAGGAAGGUCCCCCACAUUGGAACUGAGACACGGUCCAAACUCCUACGGGAGGCAGCAGUGAGGAAUAUUGGUCAAUGGGCGAGAGCCUGAACCAGCCAAGUAGCGUGAAGGAUGAAGGCUCUAUGGGUCGUAAACUUCUUUUAUAUGGGAAUAAAGUUUUCCACGUGUGGAAUUUUGUAUGUACCAUAUGAAUAAGGAUCGGCUAACUCCGUGCCAGCAGCCGCGGUAAUACGGAGGAUCCGAGCGUUAUCCGGAUUUAUUGGGUUUAAAGGGAGCGUAGGUGGAUUGUUAAGUCAGUUGUGAAAGUUUGCGGCUCAACCGUAAAAUUGCAGUUGAAACUGGCAGUCUUGAGUACAGUAGAGGUGGGCGGAAUUCGUGGUGUAGCGGUGAAAUGCUUAGAUAUCACGAAGAACUCCGAUUGCGAAGGCAGCUCACUAGACUGUCACUGACACUGAUGCUCGAAAGUGUGGGUAUCAAACAGGAUUAGAUACCCUGGUAGUCCACACAGUAAACGAUGAAUACUCGCUGUUUGCGAUAUACAGUAAGCGGCCAAG